AGACAGCAGUAGCCGCGGUAAUACGAAGGGUGCAAGCGUUACUCGGAAUUACUGGGCGUAAAGCGUGCGUGGGUGGUGGUUUAAGUCCGUUGUGAAAGCCCUGGGCUCAACCUGGGAAUUGCAGUGGAUACUGGGUCACUAGAGUGUGGUAGAGGAUAGUGGAAUUUCCGGUGUAGCAGUGAAAUGCGUAGAGAUCGGAAGGAACAUCUGUGGCGAAGGCGACUAUCUGGGCCAACACUGACACUGAGGCACGAAAGCGUGGGGAGCAAACAGGAUUAGAUACCCCCGUAGUCCCUGUCUCUUAUAC
rnacentral:rRNA from 1 species